AUAUUGCGCAAUGGGGGAAACCCUGACGCAGCGACGCCGCGUGAGUGAUGAAGGCCUUAGGGUCGUAAAGCUCUGUUGAAUGGGAAGAAAAAAAUGACGGUACCAUUUGAGGAAGGCCGGGCUAACUUCGUGCCAGCAGCCGCGGUAAGACGAGGGGGCCUAGCGUUGUUCGGAAUCAUUGGGCGUAAAGCGUGUGUAGGCGGCCAUUCAAGUCAGUUGUGAAAGCCCCGGGCUCAACCCGGGAAGUGCUUCUGAUACUGUUUGGCUUGAGUACUGGAGAGGAUAGUAGAAUUCCUGGUGUAGUGGUGAAAUACGUAGAUAUCAGGAGGAAUACCGGUGGCGAAGGCGGCUAUCUGGCCAUGUACUGACGCUGAGACACGAAAGCGUGGGGAGCAAACAGG
rnacentral:rRNA from 1 species